UUAUUCUAAUGUAACCAUAAAGCAGAAAAUCUGUAACACAGUACUAUGGAAAGCUCUUUCCUCAUUGUGUUUGUAAAUAGGGCACCCUAAAGUAAGAAUAACAACAUGAAAAUAAGACUCCUAAUCUGAAGGUAAAGUUAAGAAAUGAUACUGGCUUCCUUCCUAACCUUAAUUUCUUAAAUUUGAAGGCUUACACUUUUCUCCCCGCCCCACCACCACGACCAAUAGUAUUAUUAAAAUGAACAGGAGGUUAAUUUCCUGGGAAAUAUAUUGCCAAUGAUACAUGUUUCAUGAGUGGGGUCUAGGAUUUCACAAAAGGCCUCCUUUGAUCAUGGGAAGCUUCAGGAUGAAGAAUCAAUUAACAUGUUUCAAUUUUCCAGCUCACCCUCCAAAAGUGAGCCUGGAGACUGUACUCUGAAGUUACAUUUCAAGACUCAUUUUCUUACCCUCUCCUCUUUUUAUCUGAAUGCUAUUUCCUGGUAUGCUAGGUGUUAGGAAUACAAAAGUCAGAGUUGUCCUCUGGCCUUAAGCAGUUUACAACUUUAGUUGGAAUAGUGUAUCAGGCUCAACAGUGGAGGGGGAUAGAGGACUUUCCGAGCUCCCAGAGGAAGAAACGUAAAACCGACUGUGGAAAAAGAAACCAGGAAGAAAAGAUUCACAGAGGUAUUCCAAGUUAAAGGAAGAUGAGAAUGAGCCAGCUAGUUGGAGGAAAGGAAGCCCCAAUACAGUAAGCAGUGUGUCUGAAGGCUUGCAAAAGUUACAUUGGAAGGUGACAGGAGUAUACAUUGGGCCAGUUAGUAAACAUUUUGUGAGCUUUGAUUAUAUUAUUCCAAGUUCUUAUAUUUGAAUCAAUAUUUGAUUAUUCAAAACAAGUAAAUUUUGUGAAAGUCUUGUCUUUCAGACAACUCAUUCUGGCAGUAGUGUAAAAGGAAUUGCAGGGAAUUCAAUGGAAGCAGAAAGCUCUGUUAGAAGUCUAUGAGGAUAAGUCCAGGCCAGUAGGUGUGAGGCCUUGAACUAAAGCAGAGGCAGUGGAAUAGAUAGGAAAGAGGUUAAGGUGUUCAUUGUAUAAUAAGUGAAUGAUUGGUGUUCCGGUUAUCUAUCUAGCUAUGCCCUAAAACACUGGCAUAUAUGCAAGAUUGCAGAAGACAAGGACAACAUAGAAAAAUUUAUUGUAUUUCUAUACAGAAGCAAUGAGCAGACUGAAAAUGAAAUUAAGGAAGUGAUUCCAUUUAUAGUAACACCAAAAAGAAAUAGGAAUAAAUUUAACAAAAGCAGCGCAAAAACUUAUACUUUGAAAACUAUAAAACGUUGAAAGAAAAUAAAGAAGACUUAGAUAAGUGGAAAAACAUCCCACAUUAAUGACUUGGAACACUUAAUAUUAACAUAGUGGUACUCCCAAAAUUGGCCUGCAGAUUCCAUGCAAUCCCUGUCAGAAUUACAGCUGACUUUGCAGAAAUCAACAAACUGGUCGUAAAACUCAUGGAAAUGCAAGGGAACUAGGAUAGCCAAAACAAUUGAGAAAAACAAAUUGAAGGACUCACACUCCUGAUUUCAAAACUUACUACAAAACUAUAGUAAUCAAGACAGUGAUAGUGGUGUAAGAACAGACAUAUAUGUCAAUAGAACAGAAUUGAGAGUCAAAAAAGCCCUCACAUUUGUGGUCAGAUGAUUUUCCUCAAUGGUGCCACAACAAAUGGGGAAAGAAUUGUCUUUUCAGAGAUGAUAUUGGUGGAACAAUCAAACAUCUACAUGCAAAAGAGUGAAUUUAGACCCCUCACAUGUAAACAAAAAUUAAAAUGAAUCAGAGAUCUAAGUGUAAGUGCAAAAACUAUAAAACUUUUAGGAAAAAACAUAGGUUUAAAUCUUUGUGACCUUGAAUUAGUCAAUGGUUUCUUAGAUAAGACAGCAGAAGCAUAAGCAACCCAAAAAAGAUAAAUGGGGCCAGGUGCGGUGGCUCACGCCUGUAAUUCCAACACUUUGGGAGGCCAAGGUGGGUGGAUCACUUGAGGUCAGGAGUUCGAGACCAGCCUGGCCAACAUGGUGAAACCCAUCUCUACUGAAAAUACAAAAAUUAGCCAGACAUUAUAGUGGACGCCUGCAAUCCCAGCUACUCAGGAGGUGGAAGCAAGAGAAUCCCUUGAACCAAGGAGUUGGAAAUUGCAGUGGGCCAAGAUCGCAUGACUGCACUCCAACCUGGGUUACAGGGUGAGACUCCAUCUCAAAAAAAAA
ensembl:lncRNA